CCUCGCGGACCCCAGGCAGCCCCACGGAGCGAGGGAGCAGGCUCUGACCCCGCGAGCGCCCACGGGCCUCGGCAGAUGUAGCAAGAUGGAUAAGGCCCUGGCCCCCUGGAGGAGGACAGUACUCGCAUGAACAAAUGAGUACCCAGCAGUGUCUCAGAGGAACCACAGGAGCUACUGUGGGCUGCUGGUGCUCUGCAAACAGGCAACCUGCUCAGAGAGGGUCUCGAGGCCCCAGUGCCAGAGCAAAGUCCAUAAUCAACUAGACUGAGUGAUGUGUUUGGGAGGCUGAGACUGAUCCACGUGGUGAUUCCGGUUCCCUGGGCGCCCUGCCCUGUGAUAAAGCCUGGACGUCGGACAGCCCGGCCAAGAGCUAACGUACCUGUUUGAACUAGUCUUGUGCCAAUGGAAACACGUCAGAAAAAGGAAAACAGUUAGCCAACUGUCUAAUGCAGAUGGGUUCUCUUCAGCCCAAUGAAGAACGAUCACCUAUACACAGCUGCAGGAGCACGUUAAAUGGUAAUAGGCUGUUCAGCUGUGCCAAAGCUCCAGGGCUCCAGGAUGGAGUCAGCACCAUUUCAGGGAACUGGGAUUCCUGACGGGGGAUGCAGCAGGAGCUCCACAAUUAUUCUACCCCUGCUGAAUUGUCUGCCAUGUACAAAUGCAGGAUGCAGCCAUGCCCAGUGACCCGUCCAUGUCAGGUCCUCACUUGCUCUUCGCUCUCUGCAUGCUGCGAACCACCUCCAUUGUUAACAGCCGCUCCAGGGGGCAUCUAGUGCCCAGGGGAGAGGUGCCUGAAACACCAUCACCAGACCUAUAUCUUCACGUCCUUGCCUUGAAAGGAAGCCUCUCAAAAUCCAAGAACCAGAGAAUUAAAACUACGCUUAGGUCAACACAGUGCCGGUGUUCAGAUGAAAAUACUGCAAGAUCGUCAAACACAUAGAUGAAUUUUUCAAGCCACCCAAAACCUGGAUAAUGUUGAACAUUUGGAUAAUCAAAUAUAGCAACUCUAUCCAGUCUCUCUUUUGGAUGACUCACUGGACACUUUUAUAGACUGGGAAUUUUUUGACUACAAUAAUAACCAUCCUGCCAUUGAAGUUCAGCUGUUCACCGUGGCCUGGUGUCACAUAGCUACAGCUGAUGGUACUGUGUUAUGUACGAGAUAGUGAUAUGUAAAGACCAGUUUUUUACCAGACUGCUUUUCAUAAAAAGAUGUUUAAAAAGACUGGAACAUAGCACUCAAGUUUCCUCCUAAACAAUGAAUGCUCUGGCCUACAGGCCUUCUGAGAUCUGGAGACCCAUUCUUCAAAAGAGAAAGACUAUGCAUGAAAUUUAAUCCAUGCCCUCUCCUCUUAAUCAGGUUACAGAGAGAGAGGAAGGGGUGGAAGGACCUGCCAUUGAGCUGAGAGUGAAAUGCCACCGGGGUCUUUGGGACCCUAUCAAAGGCUGGGACCCUGAGACCUGUGAGGCCUGGCUGGUGCUUAAUAACGAGCUUCUGUAGUUUGCUGACCAGAAACCUCCUCACUCGUUAAAGUCGCUCCACACACUAGAAUGUGAGCUCUGCGCAAGCCAAGGAUUUGCCCUCCUUGUUUAUGAUGGUAGCACAUGCUUAAAACGGCGCCUGGCCCGUGGUGGGUAUUCAGGAAAUAGUCCUUGAACACAUGAGUAGAUAUGUGUUUAUUCAGUUUGCUGGUUGUUAGGUAAUCUUUCUUUCCCUUAGUCUAGUAGAUGUGUUGACAUAACUGAACUGAUAAAGGGGUUACAAGAGGGUAACCAGAGUGUUGGCCCGAAUUCUUUGCCCUCCCUACAUUCAGCCCUUUGCCAUAUGGGUUUGUAGCUCCUCCCAUUAAAGGGGUGGAACAGAUCUACCCACCUGUUGGCCUUGUGUUUGACUAAGAGACUGGCUUUGGCCAAUGGAAUGAGGUGGAAGUGACAUGGCAUCAAUUCUGAACCUCAGGCUUGAGGGGCCUUGCAUGUUUCUGCUCACCUCUUAUCCUUCUGCCAUCACCCGGAGAAGAACACACCCAGGCCAGCCUACUCGUCCCAGAAAGACAACGCAAAACAGCGCGAGACACUCAGAACAGAGGCGCCCAGCUGAGCCCUGCUUAGAUGGCCAAACCCCAGCCAACUCAUGGCCACGUGAGCUAUAUAAAUGGGAUUGCUGUGUACCAUUGAUAUUACAUUCUUGUUUGCUAUGCAACAAAGCACGGCCAUGAAUGAUCUUCUUCUAUCUCAACUGUGUGGCAACCAGUCCCCUGGGUGGAUGAACCUGCACCUGUGACACUGAGUUGGCCCAAAUGACCAAAGCAGGCAUACCCAUGUCCAAGCCAGGACAUCUGCCCUUCAUCCCUCGGUGCACAGCAGGGGAGACAGAAGAGAAUCACUCCCACAGAGUGAGCCCCACUAAGUGCCAAGCACUGUCCUCUGUACUUCCCAGCCAUUAUCUCAUUUAGUCCUCACAGCUACAGGGUCCCCGCUUCACAGGUGAAGAUGCUAGCCUUGCUGAGGGGACACCACUUUGUCCUGGCCCCACACCAGGGAGAGAGGUCCUGAAAGAGUCUUUUGACUAUGGGCCUCAGAGAGCAUCCCGAAGAGAAGGAUCAAAUCUGUUUGGAAUCAGAGUAAAUGGGCAGAAAAGCAGUGCUAACCCACCAGUGGGGCCAAUCUCCCCCACUCUCCACACCCACUCCAGUCCCCAGAGUGGCCAGGUAGCUUUGGUCCCAUGCUCUCACAGGGACUAUGCCACUUGGAAGAAGAAUAUUUGUCCUGGAACCCUUUGCAUUCCUGUUUUUAUUUGCCUUAGAUAACCCCCUCCAACAGGGAGCAGCACAUUCCAUAAGGGACAUUGGAAUUGUGCCUUCAAGAUGACAGCAUUUUUAAAACAAAGGAAUAACCAAAAGUCCAAUUUGUUUCUGUUUUUAAUUUUAAUUUGUAGGUCCAUUUCUACAAAACCUGUAAAACUGAACUAAAUUGGGAGAAAUUAUUCAAUAUUGUGUAAUUGGUAAUUCGUAUCUGUCAAUUUUACAUAGAUAUUAAGGUAAUCUGAAUCAUUUUAUUCAAACAUUUGGUUAAUAAAUAUAUUAUUGAAUUUGGGUGUGUAUACACAUAUGUAUACAUGCAGAUUGUGAGUUUAGCCAUUGAAGAAUUAGCACGAGGUGAACAAGCCUGUUUUGUCACCAACGGCCUCCAGAUAGGACGGUCCAGCAAUCCUAACACGCUCCUCACGGCCCCUCCCAGUUACGCCAACUUCUUUCUCCCGAAUGCACCACCUUAUUUCUUAUGACACAAGACUUGUGUUUUUCUUCUUUUGAAUUUGAUAUGAAUCUAAUCACACGGUAUAUCUUCUUCAGUGUCUGGGUACUUUUACGUAGCGUUAUGUGUGUGAUAUCCAUUCCUGCUCUUCGGGAGUCUGAGCGUUGUGAUUACUAGGUAGUAAUCUGUUGUUAAAACAUACCACAGUUUAAUUGUUUCUUUGCCAGGCUCUCCAGACACGGUUUUGCUAUAUGGAAGUGAUUGUCCCUUUGAGAAAUGGAAUAAUUGUGACUUGCAUUGGAUGAUACAUUUUUCUGUAUCCUGGGCCCUCAUUCAUUCAUUCAUUCAUUCGACAGAUUUCUGUUGAGUGCCCACCAUAACCCAGGCAGCCCGGUCGGGCCUGAGGGUCCAGAGCUGUCCUCUUGAAUAGGUGCCCCUUUAGUUUGGAAGCGUUUCAGAAUAGACACCCUUUGUCAUCACUGCUUGAGAUGGCUUUCAGACAAGAGUCCAAAGCCUCAGCUUCUUCUGCCCCUCACGACUUGGCAUGCGUCCUGCCCUCCAAACCUCCUAUUGUCACGUGCAGGUCCCCUGCCCUGAAUGCCCCCUCCAUUUCCCUGCUUGGAAAGAGCUUACUUGUUUCAAAGAUACCAAUCCAAGGGCCUUAGUGAUGCUUAAUUUGAUGGGUCAAUUUGACUGGCUAAUGGAUGACCAGAUAGCUGGUAAAAUGUUAUUUUUGGGUGUGUCUGUGAGGGUGUUUCUAGAAGAGAUUAGUAUUUGAAUCAGCAGACUGACUAAAGCCGAUGGCCCUCAUCCAUGCCCAUGGGCGUCAUCCAAUCUGUUGAGGGCCUGAAUAGGACAAAAAGGCAGAGGAAGGGCAAAUUUGCUCUCUGUUUCAGCUGGGACAUGCAUCUUCUGCCCUUGGCCAUUGGCUCUUUGGUUCUCGAGCCUUCAGGCUUGGAUUGCAUUCCUCACACCACUGGCUUUCCCGGUUCUCCAGAUGGCAGCGCGUGGGACUUCUCAGCCUCCGGAAUUAUAUUGUGUGCUCCAAUAAUACAGGAAAUUUUAUUAGUUGCAUUCAAUGAUGUAUCAUGAAUACCUGAAAUAGAGUCUGAUACACAGUAGGUGCUUCAAAGAUAUUGUGAACUGAACGAAUGGCUGGGAGCAAAGAGAGAGUGAGAUCUUUCAGAACUCUGGUAACAAUAACGCCGUCUCCAAAUGUCGUGCCUUUUGCUGAAGGAGCGUCUUCCCGAUUUUAAUGGUCGCUGUUCUCCGUAUAAAAAAAGCCAGGAUCCCCCUGGAGUGCCAGGACCUCCCACCUGCGGCAGUCCUGGUUGGUCAGGAACACAAGCAGAUAUCAGACAACCGCCCAGGGUGCCUAUUCAAAGAGAAGGCGCUUUCACU
rnacentral:lncRNA from 1 species